rnacentral:rRNA from 1 species
CCUACGGGUGGCAGCAGUGAGGAAUAUUGGUCAAUGGACGAGAGUCUGAACCAGCCAAGUAGCGUGAAGGAUGACUGCCCUAUGGGUUGUAAACUUCUUUUAUAUGGGAAUAAAAUGUUCCACGUGUGGGAUUUUGUAUGUACCAUAUGAAUAAGGAUCGGCUAACUCCGUGCCAGCAGCCGCGGUAAUACGGAGGAUCCGAGCGUUAUCCGGAUUUAUUGGGUUUAAAGGGAGCGUAGGUGGAUUGUUAAGUCAGUUGUGAAAGUUUGCGGCUCAACCGUAAAAUUGCAGUUGAAACUGGCAGUCUUGAGUACAGUAGAGGUGGGCGGAAUUCGUGGUGUAGCGGUGAAAUGCUUAGAGAUCACGAAGAACUCCGAUUGCGAAGGCAGUUCACUGGACUGCAACUGACACUGAUGCUCGAAAGUGUGGGUAUCAAACAGGAUUAGAUACCCUUGUAGUC